UACGUAGGGUGCAAGCGUUGUCCGGAAUUAUUGGGCGUAAAGAGCUCGUAGGCGGUCUGUCACGUCGGCUGUGAAAACCCGAGGCUCAACCUCGGGCCUGCAGUCGAUACGGGCAAACUAGAGUACUGCAGGGGAGACUGGAAUUCCUGGUGUAGCGGUGAAAUGCGCAGAUAUCAGGAAGAACACCCGUGGCGAAGGCGGCUCUCUGGGACGGUACUGACGCUGAGACGCGAAAGCGUGGGGGGCGAACAGG
rnacentral:rRNA from 1 species